AUUGAACGCUGGCGGCAGGCUUAACACAUGCAAGUCGAGCGGAGCGAGGGUGCUUGCACCUUAGCUUAGCGGCGGACGGGUGAGUAAUGCUUAGGAAUCUGCCUAUUAGUGGGGGACAACAUUCCGAAAGGGAUGCUAAUACCGCAUACGCCCUACGGGGGAAAGCAGGGGAUCUUCGGACCGUGCGCUAAUAGAUGAGCCUAAGUCGGAUUAGCUAGUGGGUGGGGUAAAGGCCUACCAAGGCGACGAUCUGUAGCGGGUCUGAGAGGAUGAUCCGCCACACUGGGACUGAGACACGGCCCAGACUCCUACGGGAGGCAGCAGUGGGGAAUAUUGGACAAUGGGCGGAAGCCUGAUCCAGCCAUGCCGCGUGUGUGAAGAAGGCCUUUUGGUUGUAAAGCACUUUAAGCGAGGAGGAGGCUACUAGUAUUAAUACUACUGGAUAGUGGACGUUACUCGCAGAAUAAGCACCGGCUAACUCUGUGCCAGCAGCCGCAGUAA
rnacentral:rRNA from 1 species